GCUCCUAUGGUGAAAUCGGUAGACACGCUGCAUUUGGACUGCGGUGACGAUUAUAUCGUCGUUCGGGUUCGAGUCCCGAUAGGGGCA
rnacentral:tRNA from 1 species